UAUACAAACUUAGUGUUUCUUAUCUCAAGAUUUGAUUAAGUAAUUAGUGGCAACCAAGAGUCUAGUGCUUUUUUGAGGCAAACUCUCUCUAUUUCGACACUAUGUUACUAUCUUUUAAGAAAAAUUCAUCCUUCAAUGCAUGAAAAAAUUUCUCCCAUGAACCUUCAAAAUUUCUUAUAAGAGACUUUAUUUGAUUUUUCAUCUUUAGUAUAAAGACUAAUUCAAAUAAUUGAAUCAUCUCCCUUUUUGAAACAUGCUUCAAUUCUAUUUUCUUUACAUAAUAUCUUAAAUAUUUUGUAUUAUUCUCUCUUCAAAUUGAUUGAUCUUAUCCACAACCACCUAU
rnacentral:lncRNA from 1 species